UACGUAGGGGGCUAGCGUUGUCCGGAAUCAUUGGGCGUAAAGCGCGCGUAGGCGGCCCGGUAAGUCCGUUGUGAAAGUCAAAGGCUCAACCUUUGAAAGCCGAUGGAUACUGCCGGGCUAGAGUCCGGAAGGGGCGAGUGGAAUUCCUGGUGUAGCGGUGAAAUGCGCAGAUAUCAGGAGGAACACCUAUGGCGAAGGCAGCUCGCUGGGACGGUACUGACGCUGAGGCGCGAAAGCGUGGGGAGCGAACAGG
rnacentral:rRNA from 1 species